rnacentral:rRNA from 1 species
GAUGAACGCUGGCGGCGUGCCUAAUACAUGCAAGUCGAGCGAACAGACGAGGAGCUUGCUCCUUUGACGUUAGCGGCGGACGGGUGAGUAACACGUAGGUAACCUACCUAUAAGACUGGGAUAACUUCGGGAAACCGGAGCUAAUACCGGAUAAUAUUUCGAACCGCAUGGUUCGAUAGUGAAAGAUGGCUUUGCUAUCACUUAUAGAUGGACCUGCGCCGUAUUAGCUAGUUGGUAAGGUAACGGCUUACCAAGGCAACGAUACGUAGCCGACCUGAGAGGGUGAUCGGCCACCCUGGAACUGAGCCACGGUCCAGACUCCUACGGGAGGCAGCAGUAGGGAAUCUUCCGCAAUGGGCGAAAGCCUGACGGAGCAACGCCGCGUGAGUGAUGAAGGUCUUCGGAUCGUAAAACUCUGUUAUUAGGGAAGAACAAACGUGUAAGUAACUGUGCACGUCUUGACGGUACCUAAUCAGAAAGCCACGGCUAACUACGUG